ACUAAACAAAAGUUACAAAGUGAACUUGCAGUGCUUCCCUUAAGGGAGAUGUAGUUACAAUUCCAGUGCACUGGCCCACUCUCUCUCUCUCUCUCUCUUGGUGGUGUGAGACUUUCUACAACCGAAUGUCUAAAUACCAUGAAUGUCCCAUCACUGAACCAGGAGCAAUUAUCAAGAGGACUCUAAGGGAAGCCUCCUUCCAGUGAAUAUUCGGAAUGAUGUUUUUAUUUAUUAGGUUGAAGCAGUUGGUGUGCUUUAGAAAAUGAUCAUAGAACAUUGGGUCGGGCAGCUCUGUAGAAAAACAUGGAAGCAGCUGAAGGUGUUCCUCCCUUUGUUUGUAUGCUUCUGGAAGCCAUCAGAGGCCAUCCAUCAAACAACCUGGCCUGUCUUUUGUGCUGUCACACAGGGCUGGAGCAUAUGGGAAGAAUUAAUGUGGCAGAGACUCAGCUACUAGAAAAGACAAGAUUAGAUUUGUUUUCUGAGAGCUUUGUUGAGAAUCUCCCUGGGAUUGGAGAGAUGGUUCUGCAGUUGAAAGCAUUGACUGCUCUUCCAGAGGAUGUGGGUUCAAUCCCUAGCAGCCACAUGACAUUCACAACUGUCUGUGACUCUGCCCUCAUCAUGCUCCAGGCAUUCACAUGGUACAUAAACGUACAUGAAGGAAAACCACCCAUACACAUAAAUAAUAAAAGUGUUCACCUGUCCUCAUCACAAACAGCACACCCUGACAGUUUCUGACUUACCC
rnacentral:lncRNA from 1 species